rnacentral:rRNA from 1 species
UACGUAGGCAGCAAGCGUUGUUCGGAAUUACUGGGCGUAAAGAGUGUGUAGGCGGUGCUCCAAGUCUGGUGUGAAAGCUCCCGGCUCAACUGGGAGGGUGCGCUAGAAACUGGAAUGCUAGAGGAUGGGAGAGGUAAGCGGAAUUCCUGGCGUAGCGGUGAAAUGCGUAGAUAUCAGGAGGAACACCUGUGGUGUAGGCAGCUUACUAGACCAUUUCUGACGCUGAGACGCGAAAGCGUGGGUAGCAAACAGG